UGUGGCUUUUGUGACAACGGUCGUAAGAGUAGCUGCUCACCGAUUUGAGGCUCCAACGCAGGUCCACCACCACAUCCGCUAUGUGGGUGUCUGCUAUCACCAGUUAAGACUUGAUCUGAUUUGAAUCAAAGUAAUACAUUAGAAAAGCAGAUGGUGCAUUACCUCUCCUAAACAGGUGUUCUACUCCCCUAGCCAGCACCUCUCCUAAACAGGUGUUCUACUCCCCUAGCCAGCACCUCUCCUAAACAGGUGUUCUACUCCCCUAGCCAGCACCUCUCCUAAACAGGUGUUCUACUCUGCUAGCCAGCACCUCUCCUAAACAGGUGUUCUACUCCCCUAGCCAGCACCUCUCCUAAACAGGUGUUCUACUCUGCUAGCCAGCACCUCUCCUAAACAGGUGUUCUACUCUGCUAGCCAGCACCUCUCCUAAACAGGUGUUCUACUCUGCUAGCCAGCACCUCUCCUAAACAGGUGUUCUACUCCCCUAGCCAGCACCUCUCCUAAACAGGUGUUCUCCUCCCCUAGCCAGCACCUCUCCUAAACAGGUGUUCUACUCCCCUAGCCAGCACCUCUCCUAAACAGGUGUUCUACUCCCCUAGCCAGCACCUCUCCUAAACAGGUGUUCUACUCCCCUAGCCAGCACCUCUCCUAAACAGGUGUUCUCCUCCCCUAGCCAGCACCUCUCCUAAACAGGUGUUCUACUCCCCUAGCCAGCACCUCUCCUAAACAGGUGUUCUACUCCCCUAGCCAGCACCUCUCCUAAACAGGUGUUCUACUCUGCUAGCCAGCACCUCUCCUAAACAGGUGUUCUACUCCCCUAGCCAGCACCUCUCCUAAACAGGUGUUCUACUCCCCUAGCCAGCACCUCUCCUAAACAGGUGUUCUCCUCCCCUAGCCAGCACCUCUCCUAAACAGGUGUUCUACUCCCCUAGCCAGCACCUCUCCUAAACAGGUGUUCUACUCCCCUAGCCAGCACCUCUCCUAAACAGGUGUUCUACUCCCCUAGCCAGCACCUCUCCUAAACAGGUGUUCUCCUCCCCUAGCCAGCACCUCUCCUAAACAGGUGUUCUACUCCCCUAGCCAGCACCUCUCCUAAACAGGUGUUCUACUCCCCUAGCCAGCACCUCUCCUAAACAGGUGUUCUACUCUGCUAGCCAGCACCUCUCCUAAACAGGUGUUCUACUCUGCUAGCCAGCACCUCUCCUAAACAGGUGUUCUACUCUGCUAGCCAGCACCUCUCCUAAACAGGUGUUCUACUCCCCUAGCCAGCACCUCUCCUAAACAGGUGUUCUACUCCCCUAGCCAGCACCUCUCCUAAACAGGUGUUCUACUCCCCUAGCCAGCACCUCUCCUAAACAGGUGUUCUACUCCCCUAGCCAGCACCUCUCCUAAACAGGUGUUCUCCUCCCCUAGCCAGCACCUCUCCUAAACAGGUGUUCUACUCCCCUAGCCAGCACCUCUCCUAAACAGGUGUUCUACUCCCCUAGCCAGCACCUCUCCUAAACAGGUGUUCUCCUCCCCUAGCCAGCACCUCUCCUAAACAGGUGUUCUACUCCCCUAGCCAGCACCUCUCCUAAACAGGUGUUCUACUCCCCUAGCCAGCACCUCUCCUAAACAGGUGUUCUCCUCCCCUAGCCAGCA